rnacentral:rRNA from 1 species
GAUGAACGCUGGCGGCGUGCCUAAUACAUGCAAGUCGAGCGAACGGACGAGAAGCUUGCUUCUCUGAUGUUAGCGGCGGACGGGUGAGUAGCACGUGGAUAACCUACCUAUAAGACUGGGAUAACUUCGGGAAACCGGAGCUAAUACCGGAUAAUAUUUUGAACCGCAUGGUUCAAAAGUAAAAGGCGGUCUUGCUGUCACUUAUAGAUGGAUCCGCGCUGCAUUAGCUAGUUGGUAAGGUAACGGCUUACCAAGGCAACGAUGCAUAGCCGACCUGAGAGGGUGAUCGGCCACACUGGAACUGAGACACGGUCCAGACUCCUACGGGAGGCAGCAGUAGGGAAUCUUCCGCAAUGGGCGAAAGCCUGACGGAGCAACGCCGCGUGAGUGAUGAAGGUCUUCGGAUCGUAAAACUCUGUUAUUAGGGAAGAACAUAUGUGUAAGUAACUGUGCACAUCUUGACGGUACCUAAUCAGAAAGCCACGGCUAACUACGUG